rnacentral:ncRNA from 1 species
CUCAUCCAGAGUGGGGGAGGGAAUGGCCCAAUGAACCCACAGCAACCAUGGCCAGCGGCCAACGGUGCUAAUUCCUGCAAGACGUUCGUUUUUGUAAGAUGG